rnacentral:rRNA from 1 species
GUGCACGCUGGCGGUAGGCCUAACACCUGCAAGUCGAACGGCAGCACAGUAAGAGCUUGCUCUUCCGGGUGGCGAGUGGCGGACGGGUGAGGAAUACAUCGGAAUCUACUUUUUCGUGGGGGAUAACGUAGGGAAACUUACGCUAAUAUCGCAUACGACCUACGGGUGAAAGCAGGGGAUCUUCGGACCUUGCGCGAUUGAAUGAGCCGAUGUCGGAUUAGCUAGUUGGCGGGGUAAAGGCCCACCAAGGCGACGAUCCGUAGCUGGUCUGAGAGGAUGAUCAGCCACACUGGAACUGAGACACGGUCCAGACUCCUACGGGAGGCAGCAGUGGGGAAUAUUGGACAAUGGGCGCAAGCCUGAUCCAGCCAUACCGCGUGGGUGAAGAAGGCCUUCGGGUUGUAAAGCCCUUUUGUUGGGAAAGAAAAGCAGCAGGUUAAUACCCCGCUGUUCUGACGGUACCCAAAGAAUAAGCACCGGCUAACUUCGUG